rnacentral:lncRNA from 1 species
AUUUCCCUCAGUCCUGCCAUAGCAAAUGAUUGCAUUUACCCAUUUGUUACCUUGAUUCAGAUAUCUGAUUUUUACUUUCAUAGCUCUUCACCUCAAUCUGUAUUACUAUGGGAGCACACUUUUUUAAAGUUGUUUCAUUUAAGGCAUGCCGGGAAUGGUUACUCCUGCAGAACAUUUGUCUUUUACCUCAAGGAGUUAACUAAAUCAGCUCUGUAAUUGACUGACUUGUCUACUGACAGCCUUUGAAACACCACCACCCCCAAGAUUUUUUUCUGUCUAAAGAACAAGAUUGACAUCUCUUUAUAUGUUUGGAAUUCUUCGGUGGUGUAAAGUGCUUGGUAAUGACAGAAAUUAACCUGAGGCUUUAUCUAACUACCUUUCCUAUCAACUCCAUUGAAGUUCUGAUAACAAUUAAAAUUUUGAUACAAACACACAGCAUCAGAAAAAAUUUUUUUUUUUUUUUUUUUUUUUUUUUUUUUUGGUACAGGAGAUCGAACUCUGGACCUUGCACUUGGAAGGAGAGUAGGAGAGCUCUUUUCUCACUCACUGACUUCUGCUAUUAUGUGGCCAUCCGCCAGGAGAUGCUGCAUAGACGCAAGCUAACGCUGUCACCAUGUCCCCGACUCUCUCGAACUAUAAGCUAAAUAAACUUCUUUGUAAAGUUCUUCAUUUCAGGGGAUGAUAAGCACCUCCGCAGCUGGCCAGACACUUCGCUGAAAUUCCACCAGAUUGAACAUGGGCCCAAGUGUCAAAGGUGACCACAUUCUGCAGGUGUUGCCAGCACUAACGGCAGAGCGUGGAGGGCAGCAAAAUAAAUGCAUGGCUUUCUAUAUUUAUCAGAAACGAACCGACUGGAGCAAAGAGACAGAGUCAUUUCAGUGAAAAAAAUAGCAAAUGCAUGAACAACAGUAACACUGUAGAGUUAAUCUGAGAGCUGAAUGUACAAAAAUGAAAGCAUGGGCACGUAGGCUGAUAUUUAAAACUGCUCACUAGUGGGUGGGGAUUAGCUCAGUGGUGCUGCGCCUGCCUUGAAAGUACAAGAUCCUGAGUUUGAUCCCUAGUACCACAAAAAAACAAAAACAAACCCUGCUCAGGACAUGGUGCCAUCAUGAUCAUUAUCAUGAUCGUAGUCACCUUCCUCAUCCUCAGCUACUAUCAGUAUCAACAUUAGAAAAAUUUUUAAUUAGGGUCUUUUUUGAUAAACUCAUAUCUGCUAUUGCCUGGUUAUUGUUUGAGUUAUACUAAAAGGACAGGCUUGCUAUCAUCCCAGAAAAAGCUAAGGGUUAAAAACCUUCACAUUCAUCAAGACUUAUAC